rnacentral:rRNA from 1 species
UACAGAGGUCUCAAGCGUUGUCCGGAUUUAUUGGGCGUAAAGAGCGUGUAGGCGGCUUGGAAGGUCAGCUGUGAAAACUCGAGGCUCAACCUCGAGACGUCGGUUGAAACCACCUGGCUAGAGUCCGGAAGAGGAGAGUGGAAUUCCCGGUGUAGCGGUGAAAUGCGCAGAUAUCGGGAAGAACACCCGUGGCGAAGGCGGCUCUCUGGGACGGUACUGACGCUGAGACGCGAAAGCGUGGGGAGCGAACAGG